GAUGAACGCUGGCGGCGUGCCUAAUACAUGCAAGUCGAGCGAACAGACGAGGAGCUUGCUCCUCUGACGUUAGCGGCGGACGGGUGAGUAACACGUGGAUAACCUACCUAUAAGACUGGGAUAACUUCGGGAAACCGGAGCUAAUACCGGAUAAUAUAUUGAACCGCAUAGUUCAAUAGUGAAAUACGGCUUUGCUGUCACUUAUAGAUGGAUCCGCGCCGCAUUAGCUAGUUGGUAAGGUAACGGCUUACCAAGGCAACGAUGGGUAGCCGACCUGAGAGAGUGAUCGGCCACACUGGAACUGAGACACAGUCCAGACUCCUACGGAAGGAACCAGUAGAGAAUCUUGCGCAAUGGGCGAAACAUUAACGGAGCAACGCCGCGUGUGUGAUGAAGGUCUUGGGAUCGUAAAGCUCUGUUAUGAGAGAAGAACAAUAUUGUCAGUAACUAUGCACGUCUUGACGGUACCUAAUCAGAAAGCCACGGCUAACUACGUG
rnacentral:rRNA from 1 species